UGGGGAAUAUUGGACAAUGGGCGGAAGCCUGAUCCAGCCAUGCCGCGUGUGCGAAGAAGGCCUUUUGGUUGUAAAGCACUUUAAGCGAGGAGGAGGCUCUUCUAGUUAAUACCUAGGAUGAGUGGACGUUACUCGCAGAAUAAGCACCGGCUAACUCUGUGCCAGCAGCCGCGGUAAUACAGAGGGUGCGAGCGUUAAUCGGAUUUACUGGGCGUAAAGCGUGCGUAGGCGGCUGAUUAAGUCGGAUGUGAAAUCCCUGAGCUUAACUUAGGAAUUGCAUUCGAUACUGGUCAGCUAGAGUAUGGGAGAGGAUGGUAGAAUUCCAGGUGUAGCGGUGAAAUGCGUAGAGAUCUGGAGGAAUACCGAUGGCGAAGGCAGCCAUCUGGCCUAAUACUGACGCUGAGGUACGAAAGCAUGGGGAGCAAACAGG
rnacentral:rRNA from 1 species